rnacentral:rRNA from 1 species
GACGAACGCGGCGGCGUGCUUAACACAUGCAAGUCGAACGGAGCGAAUGAAAGCUUGCUUUUAUAAGCUUAGUGGCAAACGGGUGAGUAACACGUAGGCAACCUGCCGACAGGAUGGGGACAACAUUCCGAAAGGAAUGCUAAUACCGAAUGAAGCGCAGGAGAGGCAUCUCUCCUGCGUGAAAGAUGGCCUCUAUAUAUAAGCUAUCACCUGUCGAUGGGCCUGCGUCUGAUUAGCUGGUAGGUGAGGUAACGGCUCACCUAGGCGACGAUCAGUAGCCGGUCUGAGAGGAUGAACGGCCACAUUGGGACUGAGACACGGCCCAGACUCCUACGGGAGGCAGCAGUGGGGAAUCUUCCGCAAUGGGCGCAAGCCUGACGGAGCAACGCCGCGUGAGUGAAGAAGGUCUUCGGAUCGUAAAGCUCUGUUGAUGGGGACGAACGUGCCUAAUGCGAAUAGUAUUAGGCAA